GAAUGAAAAAUGUAAGAGGAUGGAAUUGAUAAACCACUCAAUAGAUUACAUUAACCAUUUAACCGUUUUCUGUGGGAACAGGGGAUGCCUCAACAUAAGGCAAGGCAACUACUGUUGUUAGUCUGUUUGAGAUUCUAUACAACAAGUAAACAAUAAUUGCGAAUGCUAAUUAAGUUCACAACAACGACCAAUUGCAUUUAUUCCAUUUAAUAAGAAUCUCUAUUGGUGUUGCACAAAUUCACUAUACACAGGUUCAGAUUAAUACAACCAUUGAUGCAUCAAACAUGAAUAAUUUCUACAACCAUAUGAUUAUUUUAACUACAAAAAAAAAAGUCUCAAGAUAUAGCAAAAGGUAUGAACCGUAAUUGAAAACCAUGUUAUCUCCGAAAACACUUCUAUAAACCUUAUAUCAUUGCUUGAGUGUUUUAGCUGAAGAUGCAGCAUAUCUAGCAGAGAAACCGCGGCCUAAAGCUUCUUCGUCGUCCUCCUCCCAACUACCAUCAUCAAAAUUUUGAGCAUAGCUUAAAGGAUCAUACCUAAAACCACCAACGGUUCUCCUCUUCCACGGCAGCUUCAAUUUGAGACGCCCAAAGCAUGAAAGCAACCCUCCUCCACCUGUUUUGCUUCUUCUAGUAGAUGAUGGACUUGUUUCCAUUGCUAGCUAAUUUUUGAGAUAGAUAGCUUCAUUGAAUGAAAACUUAGUGUUAGCUCUCGUGGGGUCUUUUUUUAUUCACAACUUCUAUUUUAAUUUGGUAUGGAUUUUAAGUGUGUGGUAGAGAAUAAUAUAACUUGAGAAGAAACAAAACCCAUUUUUUUUGGUUUACAGAAUAUAUAAUUGUCCUCUUAAGAUUGUUUUUUAUGAAAAGAAUCUUAGAAUGUGAAUGGUAAUUCAGUUAAUACUUUCAUUAAUCUUUAUAUUCAAAUUAUAGAGUAUGGAGGACCGCUAGCUCUUGAUGCCAGAAAGUGUAGCUUAUAACUAAUACUCAAAAGGGAACAUGUCACAUAGUGGAGAAUAAUUGUUCCUCAUUAUCGACAUACAUUUUCAAGUAUUCUUAUUAGACUAGAUCCCUAGUUUCAAAAAGUGAAAAAAAAAUAAAAAUUAUUGUACUCUGAAGUUUGAUCAAUUUUUUUUUUUUGAAAGAAAGUUUGAUCAAAUAUGUGUCCAUCAUCAAAUUAUUCGACGACAUAUUAUAUUUUUGUAUUAAUUUAAUUAAAAAUAAAAAUAUAUUUUGAAUGAAUUUUACCAAAAUUUUUGCGAAAAGUUAUGUAGGAAAUGGAGUCUCAUAGUAGACAACUCGGUUGAUAAAUUGAAUGAGUACUAAUCAAAGAUUUUUUUUUUUUAAGGAAGUACUAAUCAAAGAUAUAAAGUUCAAAAUAAUAACCUUAACAUAAUCAUUAGUACUUUCUUACCAACUAAAAUUUCCCUGUAAGAAAAAAAUUGUGUGAAUUUACGGAUCAUGAUUUCGAACAAUUUAUUUUGUUACAACUCUAAAUAUAGAAAUAAUUUUAGCGCACACACAUGCAUCAAAAUAUACGCUAUUUAAUUAUUCAAAAAUACAUUCCUUAAAAAAAAAAUAUUCAAAAUACACGUUUAAAUCAAAAGUUCGGUUGUAUAGUUGUAUGUGUUAAAAUCCAUUUUAUUUGGACUUAUGACCAAGCAAGUGUUAAUGCACCAUUUUUUUGUUUUUUUUGUUUUGAAAGAGUUAAUGCACCAUUCUAAAUAGUAAAUUUUACAAUAUUUGUUGUAAUUAUAGAAUAAGGGUGUGUGGCCAUGUAGGGUUAGGUUGAAAUAUCAAUCCUAGUUGUGCAAGAAAGGGAUUUAUCUGUUUGAUGUUAUGGCGGGUAGGGCAAAUAUUUGGAGGUUUACUUUUUCAAGAGAAUAUCCCUUUUUUUGUUAUGAGAGAAAUAUAUUGGGAGAGAAUAAUGCUCCGAUUGAUGAUAUAGAAGAUCUUUGAGUUUAAAAAGCACUGGCAAAAAUAUUUAAAUUUUAUGUUCCUCCAAAAACAUUAUCGGGUCAAAAUUGUAAUUUUUGAUUCCAAAACUUGUUGUUUUUACCUGUAGACAAAAACCUUUGAAUUUGAUACGCUUUCUAAUUUAUAUUACAUGAUUGGAUGAUAUACCAAGAGUGGCAGUAUCAGCCUUGUGUGGUAGCUGAAGUUUUAUCAUAGGAUCUUGCUAACAAAUAUGGUCUAUUAUUCCUUUUGCUAUACCGACUAAAAAUAAAACCCCCUUUAUUUAAUAAUUUAUUAGAGAUAUAAAUAAAAGUCGGUUAUAAAUUAGUUAAAGAAAAAAAUUAAGUCUCGCAUAUAGUAAAGAUAUAACCUAAACUUGACAAAGAAAAAAUAUAGAGCCACAAAAAUUAAUUUUGUAAGUUUAGGAUGGGUUAUAUCAAAUAAAAAACCUAAUAGUCUCGCAUAUAGUAAAGAUAUAUACGCUUUCUUAUGAAAUAAUGUUUUCUAAAAUAUAAAUGUCAAUAAAUAACUCUUUAUAUCAUAAAAUUGAUCAUUACUUUAUAGAAUUAGGAAGUAAGAGUACCGAAACAUCUCAAUUUAUAAGUGUACUGUAGAAGUUUCCGUAAGUUUUAAGUGAUGUUUGCAUUUUUCGUCUACGUAUCUAACAAAAAUGUUUAAAGAAGAUAAAAAAAAAAGAAUAAACUUGCAAUAAUUGUCAAAGUACAAAUGUCUUCCUCCUUGAGUUGUACAAUGCGCUAUAUUUUUUUAGAAAAAAUAAGAAAUUUGAUAAGAAAUAUUUACGUCAAAAAAAGAAAAGAAAUUUGAAAAAAAUAUAUAUCUCAAACUUCAAAUAAAAGCAUUCACUAUUUUACCCAUUAGACAAUCACAGAUCUCUAGCUUCAAUUCAUAAGUCAUUCUCUAUUGAUUUUAGAGACAUCUUUCAUGACUAUUUCUAGAAACUUGUUCUUCAUAUACCAUUUAAAUUCUAUCUAGGAAGUUGGCUCUAGAAAAAAAAGGCAAAUAAAGUUUUGAAGUAGAUAAAUUUGAUCAUACAAAUUAAUCCCCUCCGUUCUCAGCAGUGUUGAAGAACCUAAGAUUAUAGUCUCAUAGAUUUCUUUAUCAGUUUAUCUUUGUCCGACACAAACACUCGGAGCCAAUACUCCAACCUAUAGUUGUAUUCAACAACACUUGAUUUCUUCUCAUGAUUGCUCCCUCAUAUUACAGCCUCUAUUCUUGCAUGACAACUCCAUCCAUAUUAAUUCCAAUUAUUUGUUUCCCUGGAUUCAUGCAUAACGGUUCCAUCAAAUUAUUUAUUUGUCAUGACUUAUUCAUAAUCUUUCUUUCAAUUUGUAGUCUCAUUCUAACCAUAGCAGCUCCCUCAUUCUUACAUUUUGCAAAACAUGUACAGCUACAAAACCAUGUACUCUUGAUUCCAAAAGAAAAAUAAUAUACAUAAGAGCCUUUGUUUUCUGUACCACCUAAAGUAUAUCAUAAAUUCUCCACUAUAACAAAUUAACUAACCAAAUGCAGUAAAUACAAAUCUGAACAUGUAAUAGCUUCAAAAAUAAAAAAGAUUAAUUAGUUAUAUAAACAUGAUAGCAUGAAAUAUUGAAUCAUUUCAUGAAGCACGUUUAUAUAAACAUGAUAGCUUACUUAAUUUAAAUCCUAAAAAAUACAAAUUCAAAAUGAAGCACACCAACAAUGUUACCAUUCACCCAUUUAUGUUUUAACGUGAGAUGUAUGAGAUGGUGAAUAGAAAAGCAAGAGCAACAGAAUAGCAUGUGGGAAAAAGGUCUGUCAAGAAUCAACAUAUCAUACUUCAACUGUGAGAUCGUAUACCUUAAACUUGUGUUAGAAAAUUAAGAAUAUUAAGUAUAAAUUUAAACUUUAUUCAGUGAAGAGAUCAAAUGACUUAACAUGACUAUACCUGCACACUUAAUUAAUAGUUUAGAAAGAAAGAAAAAUAAAAACAGAGCAUUUGAUUUGAACCCUUCAAUUUGAUGCAUUUCACUUGUCUGCAUUCUUUUAUUUACUCAAUUGUAUGUAACGGGGUUGAUUUGCGAAUACAAAAUAACAAUCAUCAAAUAAUGAAUAUCAAAACUAUCUUGCAAACAUUAAUAGCCAACAUGAUAAGUUUGGAAGAAUAAACUUUGGAAAUCAACUUUAUAGUUUGAAGGUGAAACGUAUUUUCCUAAUCGUAUUGUUUAGAAGCCAAACAAUGUCUAUUGUAGAGCUUUUUUUGCCGCAGAAGAUACACCAAUGGGGAAGAAGAAUUACCACAAUAGCUGCAAUGAAAAAAAGCAAACCGAUGCAGAGUAUAUAUAUAUAUCUACAAUAGCUGCAAUGAAAAAAGAACUCCCACAAUAGAGCAUUGAAAAAUGGUACUCCCUCCGUCCCAAAUUGUAUGACGUUUUGGGCAUUUCACACAUAUUAAAAAAUGUAAUUAAUAUUGUGUGGGAAAGAGAUAUUAUGAGUUAUUUUACAAAAUUAUCCUCAAUAAAUGAUAUGAGAAAGAUAAAUGAAGGAAUUGAAAGAAGAGAGGGUAAUAAAUAGUUAAGGAUAUAAUAGGAAAAGUAUCGUUAAUUUUUCAUUGGUAUUGUAAAGCGACAUACAAUUUGGGACAAAUAUUUUUUCUAAAGUGACAUACAUUUUGGGACGGAGGGAGUAGUAAUAAUGAGGCACCGCUUUUUUGCAUUGGAAUUGUAUCCAAUAGGUUAUACUCCAUGACUCUUAUUCAAAUUUGAAUGUUAUCGGAGGGCGGUGCAUAUGCAUUGGAAAUAGGGUGGGAAUAGAUAGUGGUGUGGGAUAUAGCAGUAAGGGAGCUUCUACGCUGCAGUCAUACAACUGACUUUUUUGGAAAAGUUAAUUUUGAUCUUAAUGUUUGAUUCAUUUUUAAAUUGUUGAUUACUCAUUAAUGAUCAAUAAUCAUUCAUCUAGUAAUGUUUGCAACAUCUUGGACUUACAUGUACUAUUUUAUCGUUGACAUCUUUAACAUGCAAACAGAGUUGAUGAUAUUAUGUGAUAGUCUUAAGUGUUACACUAUGUGGGGUAUUACACUUAAAACAAGGUAGGAUAAAAUUAGAUUAAGUGUAAUCUUGUUAAUCUGAUGAAUUGAUGAUACUAUGAUGACUGAACUUUUGAUGCCACUAUACAAACAUUUGGGGAGUUACUCACUACACUUUUGAUGUUAUAGUAUUAACUUCACCAGAAAAGUCAUUCUCAUGACUUCACCUCAGAAUUUUCCUAGUAGUAAAUGUCGUACAACAUUGUACAUGUAUCUGCCUUUAUUACUAAAACUUGUAACCAGAACGCGCGCGCACACACACACACAUACAUAUAUAUAUCAUGGGAAAGAGAGUAGAAUAAUAUGUACAUGAGGAUAGGGUAUAUUAAUUUUACACAUUCACAUUCCUUAUGUAUAUGCAUCGGCAAUUAGCAAAUGUUGUAGGAGGGAAAUUUAAAAAUUGAACUUAGCUUGAUGAGUAGGAAAAGCACUAACCAAAAUUAAAUGCUUGGGUGAUGGAAGGAAAAUAUUAGGUUAAAAUUAGGGUGAACAAUAGCUUGACCAGACAAGCUUUAGUAAGAAAGAUAUGUUAUCCUAAUGGAGUAUUUAAGUCUAAUUUGUAUUAUUUGAUGUAAUCGUCUUUAUCAUAGGGUCUUGCUAACAAGUGUCCUAAAGACAUUGUUUAAUGAAACCAUAAAUAGAAAUAUUCUCUCAAAACAUAAAUCAAACAUAUGAAAAAGCAAUAUUCACACAUAUUUUUAUGCAAAAGUUAUUACUAUUGAUUGCUAAAACCCCAAAGGCAUUUGUUAGCAGUUUUCUUAUAUUAAUACACAAUUCAUUUAUACUUGGACAUUUUCUCUCUUCCACGACCUCUAUCAAAAUUUUGAAUUUGGUACCAGAGCACAUGGUAUCCUCCGCGAGAAUAUGUUAUGAUGCACUUGAGUGAUUUUAUUGGGGGUGCCAAAAAUUAUAUGUGUGUGGAAGGGUUUGAAAUGCAUAUUAAAACAAUAAUAUUUGGUAUUGUGGUAAUUGUUGCUUAAAUAUUACCCCCAAAAGCGAGGGUUUGAUUUAUAGUAAGGACUUUUUUUAUUUUAUUAUUAAAAUUAAUAAUAUGUACAACUGAAGGUGUAAACUGAGUAUCAAACUUUGACCCCUUAUUAGGAAGAGAGAGAAACCCCCUCCCUUUCCACGAGAUAAGAUGCACAAUUUAUCAAAGAAUUAUGCCUAAUUUAGUAUAUAUAAAUUAGGGUUAAUAGGCUUUUACCCCCUGUCAUAUGGGUGUCUUUUGGUUUACUCUCUAGGAAAAAAAAAUUGAAGAUUCCCCCUUCUAAAAUUUAGAUUCUUUGGUUUUCAACCCUUAUGGCAUCUGACUGUACAUUUCAAUCUAUGUGGCACACUGAGUCACAUUUAAUUGAUUAGGUGGCGUACUGAUUGUAUAAUUAUUUUUAUUUUAAAUUUUUUUUAUUGCAUCUCACUAACAUGUCUUUAUUUACAAUUAUAAAAAAAAACUUCAUAGAUUUUCCAGAAACUUCAUAGAAAAUCAGCAACAACAUCAACAACAACAAAUUUUCGGUGGUUUUUUCAAAUCCAGGAUUUUUUCACUGAGAGAACAACAACAAUAUUGGUGGUUUUCAAACCCAUAAUUUUUUUCACUCUCCAACAACAACAACAACAACCUUCUGCAUCACCACCAACAACACUACUAAUGCUUGAACUAGCAGCCAUCCAACCACCACAUCAACACCGCCGUUAAACCCGUCACCGUAGUAUCCACCACAACGUCGCCGUCACAAUCACAACCGUCGUCACCGCGCACGACCUCCAACCAUCGCAGAUCCAUCACCGUCAAACUCGACCACCAUCUUCAUACACGACUUGAUUUUGAUUUGAGAAUAGAAGAGAAGAAACAAUCAUGGGGAUUUGGGAAGAGAAGAGAAGAAAAGAGAGAAGAAGAUAAGAUUGGAGAAGAGGAAAAGAGAGAGUCGUUUGAAUAUUUUUUUUUUAAAAAAAAAAAAAAAAAAAAAACUUAACCAACCAAAUCUCAAUUGGAUCAGUGUUUUCCUUAUUGUUUUGUUUAGAGAAGGGUUAGCAUUAGCAUGUAUUGCUGUUAUGGGUUUGAGUAGUGUUGUUUUGAACUAAAUUAAGAAGCAAAAGUAAUAGACACAAACAAUUGAGAUUUUGUUGUUGUUCUAUUGAAUCCAUCUUUAGAUUUUGCAUAGUUUGGACUUGGGUAUAAGGAGAAAUAAUUGAUGAUAAAGGCAAGAACAGAAUGGGAAGAAGAGAGAAGAAGAGGCCGCUGGAGAAGAAGAUGAGAAAAAAAAUUGGGAUUUUUUAAUUAAGCAUUAGGGGUACUUUAGACAUUUCACAUCUUUAGGAUUAAUUUUUAUAAAAAAAUAUUAUAUGUCCCACGUGGAAUUUAACCAAAAAAAAAUCAAAACUAAAAAGAAUAACACAUCAUCGUGCCACAUCAUCUCAUUGAUCCAGUCAGAUGACUUGGGGGUGUAAACCAAAUAAUCUUGAUAUUUCAAAGGGGAAUCUUCAAGUUUUUUUUUCAUAGAGGUAUAUUAAAAGACGCUCAUAUAACAGGAGAUAAAAGCCUAUUAACCCUUAUAAAUUAAUUGAAGAGUGUCGUGGCUUCGGUCCGCUCUUGAGAAGACCACCAUUGUUAACCACUUAAUUACAACUAAAUUGUCUUUUCAUGUUGAUUUGGACCCACAUUUCCCCUCAAAUACAUAUACAAUAAUGAAAAUCUAGUAUUAGUUUGAAGCAUUACCACUUCUGAGUAGCCAACAAUUGUAGUAUCCCAUGUAUUAGGGAAAUGAAGUCUUCAUAAUGUAAAAUUUGGUUGAAAGAUAAAAAUAAGUAGGACAAAUAAUUUUAUAGUUGGAUUAAUUUAAUCUUAUCUAUAAGAAAAGGUACAUUUUAGAAGAAAAGAUUGAUACACAACUCUUUGUUGAGUAGAUUAUGAUUGUAUUUUUAUUAUAAUUAUAUAUUUAUUUAUUUUUUUGUUAAAAUUAUUUACAAAUUUUUAAUAAUAGACUUAUAUUAUAUACAUAUUAAUCCUCGCUUAAAAUGCGACUGCCAUUACAAACCAAGUAAAACUCUCGUCAUGGGCUAAAUGAAUGCAAACACUGGCUUUAUUAUAUUGGCUGCUGAUAUAAUUUAUGACAACCAGUUGAUUAAUAUUUUCAAAAGGAAUAAAUUUAAAAAUUAAUGAUAAUUUAACAAUAAGGUCGUUGUAGUAUAGUGGUAAGUAUUCCCGCCUGUCACGCGGGUGACCCGGGUUCGAUCCCCGGCAACGGCGUUUUUUUAUUUAUUUCGAAAUGUAGGGGCUGUUGUUUUGAGAAUUGGAUUGAACGCUUUUUCCUUGCUAUUCGUAACUGAUUCUUUCUUUUGUUCUUGAUAAUGAUAAGAUUUUUUUAUUAAACACUAAUGUAUGACUAAUUAACUUUGUAAAAAAAAACUAAUUAAGUUUAAGAAUUCGCUCUCAAAAAAAAGUUUAAGAAUUCAUUCAGAAUAUUUAUUAUGUUAUUAUAUUGUAUUUUAUACACCACCAAAAACUCAAUUCGUAAAUGCAAUUAGUCUAGAAUGGAUCUAGAAGUUUCGAGUAUAUACAUAUAUAUUACUUCCGUCCUUAAUUAUAAGAUUAUUUUGAGAAUUUUUUUUAUCUUUUUUUAUAAGACCCAUUUGCUAUUUCCAACUACAUUAAUUAUUUCUUUACAUAUAUGUCCCUAUUAAUUAUACAUCUUUUUCUUCAAUCAACAAUAAAUAACAUGUUGAAAACAUAAACCAUCUCUCUCUUAAAGGAUAAAAUUGUAAAAAUAAUACUAAUUACAAACAUAUUUAAUACAAAUAUUCACUAUCUUAAUUCCCGUUAUUUUUUCAAAAGGAUCCUAUAAUUAGGGACGGAGGUUGUAAUAUUUUUAUUGUUUUAAACAUAAGUUGUCGUUUUAGUUUCUUUAAAAAAAUUCUUCGAUUUUUGUCCUCCAAAAGUUUUUCAUCUCCCAACAAAAAAUUAGUUUUUUUUUCCACAAAACCUGAAUUAAAUAUGAUUUUUUAAAAAUAUUUUGGCGGUUAAAAUUUCAUAUUUAAUUCAUGAUUUGGUGAAAAUUUCUAUUUUUUUAGAAAUUUUUACAGUAUUCUACACAAUUUUUUUAAAAAUUACAAAUGCUACACAUGAAAUAACUUUAAAAUAGAGACCAAAAGUGGUGAUUGAAAAUUUUAUGAGGACUAUAAGUCGAAGAAAAUUUUUAAAGGGCCUAAGACAAUGUAAGAGAAUGCUUGGAAAAAGAAGAGAAAACUAUUUAUAUGGGCUGAGAGCGUGCUUGUUCGCUUACGCGAAGAAGAGUUCGCUUAAGCGAACCUCCAGGUAAUCUUCUGUUGACCAUUGAGGAGCUGCCACGUGGUCCUUAUCUUCUGAAGUUGGAUGAAACUUGCUCAAGCGAACCUCAAGCGAACUUGUGAGCGAACUUUCCUGGAGCUCUCUGGAACUUGUUCGCUUAAGCGAACUGAACUUUUCUCAUGAGCGAACUGAAGGCGUGCUUGUAAGCGAACAAGCUGGUUGCUCUCUGGAACUGGUUCACUUAAGCGAACGGACCUUGGUUCAGAAGCUUCCUUCUUUUGGUCCUUGCUUGUCAUUUCCUGCAUAAAUUGGCUAGAAUCAGGCAUGUAAAGCAUAAAUGGUAAAAUUACACUCAAAUGGUAGCUUUUCCUUAGAUAACUUGCAAAACAAGUCACAAAUUUGCCUAAGUUAACACAUGAAAUAUGUUACUUUUGAGCACUUAUCAUACAUAUAAAUUAAAUCCAUCACACAAACUAAAAUAAUGAAAUCUAUUUAUUUAUUUUUAGGCCGUCAAUCUUUUAAAGCUUGGUAUUAUUAAUUUUUCUCUAAUAAAUGUUAAAAUAAGAUGAUUCAUUUCUAACUCAUCAGCACUUAGAAUAAAUUACACAAAUUUCUUCUAACUUAAUCAAGAUAUUGAGUUUGAAUAUGAGUUUAGAAAUAUAGUAGUGUUAAAUUUUUUAGAAAGAGAUUGCCGUUUAUUGAAGUCAAUGAGACUCGAGAGAUUAAUUUCUCCGUUUGUCCACCGAAGAGACUCGAUUUACAACAAAAAAAGAUGGCUCAUUUCCCUGAGUGAAGAACAAAACGGCGAGUGAAUUGACGCAUUUAAAAUUGAUUAAACCUCACCAUAGUUUUAUUAAAAUUUCUAUAUGAAGAAUCUAUACAAGAAAGAGAAGAAUCCAUGAAAAUAUGAUAUUUGACCAAUUAGAUUCUAGCGAAUUGUAAAUGGGCUACUGGCUGAUGGGCAAGGAUCUCUCCGGUGAACUGUUCACUGGAUGUGGUGCGGUGUAAAUCUUUAUCAUUCAAUAGUUAUUUAAUGAUCUUGACCAAGUCAAGUAGAGGAAAAUGUGUGGCUGUGAUUCCACAACACUCUCCAGUCACGGAAGACAAUCUGGUAUUUUCCAUUUUAUAUUAGAUAAUUUGUGAGCUCACACAAUUUAAUUAUGGAGAAAUGGAGUGUCCAGGGUUCGAACCCCGACCAUUGUAUAUAAAAUGCAAUAUCCCUACCAACUGAGCUAAGCUCACGGGAAUGAACUAAACCAAAAUUAUUGUUGAGGAAAGUGGAUUUUUGUGCUUAAAAAUAAAAAUACAAGGUGGACAAAGCAUGAUAAAUUUUUAAAAAAUUGAGAGUAAAUCCUUAAUUUGAAUUAAGGUGUCUAUACAUUAAAUAACGAGGAACUCUCUAAUUUUAUUUAUUAUUUGAUAUCAAUAUGCUAGACAAUAUAGAACUUUUUUUAGGGAAUAUAGAACUUAUUUUCUAUUGAUUGGAGUUGAAUGAGAUUAUGAUAUUUUCCAAAUGAAUAUUCUCUACAAGAAUCUUUAAGUUGGAGGUCCUUCUAAACGAAUAUAAUCAUAUAAAAUUCCUACAAAAGGACCAUCCUUGGUAGCUUGCGUUAGAAAGAUGGUAUUGUUCCCCUUCACAAGAAGACUGCCUUGUACAUCAAUGUUGUAUAACCAGUACAGCCCGUGAAUUCCAUGCCUUGCUAUUGUAUUCUCCUUUCCAAUAACCCCAGUUGAAAAUAAAGGCGGACUUGUUGCAUCUAAAUUGUUUAUGCGAAUCUAGCAUUCCAAAAUUAAAGAAAAAUAUAUGUAAUUAGUAAGAUAAAUGCUUAUGUAGUUAGUAAGUAGCUACUAUUAUUUCUUAUAUCAAAAGAAUAAUUGUUAUGCCUGUAGCUCCGCAUAAUGUACAGAUGCCAAAGCUAGUCGCAAUUUGUAGGUUCCUUUUGUAUUCACUGAAUCAAGAUUGAAAUUAAUUCGCCAUGUGGUUCCUUGGUAAGUGUUGUUGUCUUUCUUCCUGCAAAUUAGUAAGGGAAGCUAAUUGAGACAAUUAUUAGAGAGGAUCGAGUUUGCCAUAACACUUGUGCAUUCAUGCAUGAUACAAAGUUCACCGGUGUGAGAUGACGGUAAUAGUUUGACUUUGUAAUCUUAGGAGACGAAGUUCAAAAAUAUUCGGCGACAUUUGUUAAAAUGAUCGCUAAUAUUCGGCUACAUUUUUUUUGUAUAAAAGUGUGGCAGGGGGUCAGGAUGGAGGCUAAUUGGUUGACAUUGGCAAAAGAAAAGGCAAAACAAACCUGGUGACCUGAGCAAAAAACCAAUCUUUUUUGUAAUCACUAAUGCCAACAGUGUAAACUAGGUCUUCAUUUGGAUACAGAUCAGCAUAUCUCUCCCACAAGCCAUAUUGCCUAAACCUGUAAAUUAUAAAUAGGCUCAUAAAGUUUUUCCUUAUGUUUUCCAAAAAAUAAGGCUCAAGUGAUAAUAUUAUUUGACAAAAAAAAAACAACGCAUUAGCGAGAUUAAUAAUAUUAUUGGAUAAAAAAGAUCAACGCAUGAGGUAGAUUAAUCUUUGAUUUGAACACAAAAAAUGUACAAUGUGCAAUUCUACAACUCUUAUACCUGUCUGAAUGGUUGACAUAAAGUCUGUUCACGUACAAGGGAUUUGGAUCAGGAACAUAGAACUCAGCAGCUGAGCGAUCAGGGAUGCCUAUUUCCCACAGUGUAGGGCCAUGUCUUGGUGGCUCAUAAACAAGCUCACCCACAUUAAUUUCAGAACCUAUGUCACACAUUUGCCAAAUGAGUAUUGAGUUUAGAAUAGCAGUAGUACUAGGUCUAGUAUCAUUUGGAACUUAGGAAAAACUUCAUAAAUCAUUACCCGAGGUUAUGUUAAUGAUAUUGUUACAUUGAUAAUCACCGAUGAAUCCAUUGACCCACGAAUACAAAUUAUAGUCACCAGGAAGUACAUUAAUUAUUGAGAAAUAGCCUUUAUCAUCGGUAAUGGUCCAAAAUUGAUAGCCCUGUUACGAAAUAAUAAAAAGGUAUCAGAUAUCAUGUGUCCCUAUACUAGUAGUAGUAUUUAUUCAAAUGGUACAAGAAGGAAAUGGUUAAUUAAAAAGGUUACCUUGUAUUCUCUUUGCCAAGAUCCAACAUCUCCUGGGGCUGCUAAUCCCACAUAAGCACCACUGACUGGGACGAAUGCAUCCCUGAUGUACCUAUACAAGUUUAGUAGUGAACCGUGAUGUACCUAUAUUUGAGUCAUAAUGUGAUAAAACUUGGCAAUAUGAUACCUACCUAUCUCGGACAAGCAAUCUACCUUCAAAUUUACCUCGUUGGGCAGAUGAGAGGAAGUCCUCAGAAGCAGGAAAAGUAUAGGGCCAGCUUUCAACUUCAUUCACCAUCUGCAAUAUGUAUUUUUUAAAAUUUAAUUGAAUUAAAUAAAACUAAAGCUUAAUAAUUGUCACAAAUUGAUUGUGGCAGGCGGCAUAGCCUAACCUGUUGUUUGGCGUCCUCCCAAAGCUUGAUUGGGCUAAAACCAUCAGAGUUGGAAUUAAGGUAUAUGAAUAUUGGACCAAAGACUUUCUUCCAUGGUUCAUUUUCUCCAAAUUUCAUGAUAAGAUCUGCCCCUGAAUAAUGUGUGCUAUGAAAUACCUGAAUCACAAGGGUGGUUUACCAAAUAAAUAAGAAGAACUCAUAAAACACGCCAAAUUUAAAUAAAAAAAAAAAAAAACUCACAGAGAGCAUGGUGGGGCCCAGGUGAGAACCAAGAUAUUGUUUUAAGGGCCCAGCAGAUCUGAACUCAUAGCUAGGCGUAAUUAGCCAGCAUCCAGUGGAAUCUGAUGAUGAAUCAAUGGAAAUCCAACCAUGAACUUGGUUACUUCGACUCUCACAUGCGUACUCAUACUUAUCAUCCACCUGCUUUCAAAUACAAUACUUACUAUUUCCCUUUCAAAUUCAAAAUAUAUAUAUACUUGAAAUACCUCUCCUUUGAACUCUGGCUCCACCGGAUUGACAAGGCGGACAGCCUCUGGGUAAGCCAAAACUUGGCCUCUAGGAGGUAAACGAUCAUCAGGUAGAGGCAUAAAUCUUUGUCUAUUGUCAGCUAUAGCCAUGUAAUUGAACCUUUUCAAAUAAAUAAAUAUUGAAACAAUUGAAUGCAUGGUUUGGUUUUGCUUUCUAAUUUUCUAAAUCUCGGAAGAAAAAAAAAAAAACAAAAAUUCUUACUUGUCUUUCCUAAGCUUGAAAGCAACCCUAGUAUUGUCAAGAUCAAAGGCAGGCCAUUCCUUCAAAUGAUCGUAAAUGGCAUACGUGUAGAAUCCGGAUGAACCACGAAGCAUUAUAAACCUACGUAUGUAUAGAUUUUCCUCAUUUUUAUUAUUUAUUUUACUUGAACUAAUUUAAAGUUUGCUCCUAAAGCAGCAGGGUAACCAAUAAACCUUUUAUCAAUAUUGAGUGGCGCAAGCUUUCCUUCAAGAGAUAAAUUCCAUGUUCUAGUGAAAGAUAGCUCUACUUGUUCUUCACUUUCCAUUAUCACCCUCAUAUUUGUCGUUUCCAGCCUUUCAAACAUAAUAAUAAUAAUAAUAAUAAUAAUAAUUCAUUUUGGUACAUUUAAUCAAAUUUAAUUAAUAGGACAAGGUCCGUGAAUCAUACAUACAUACAUGCAUACCUGUCCAAUUUACCCUUUCCCUUUGCACCUUUUUUUGUUCUUUUUUCCCCACCUUGAUCCCAAACAAUAUCCCAAUACCUACAAUUUCAUUGGUAAACCAAAACACCAAGAACGUAAUAAUAAGUUGAAAUUAAGUUGUUGUACGUACCCUCUAUCAGAUUCGUGGUUAUUAAUUUCGAGCAAAUUAUCGAGUCCAUUAUAUUGAAUUCCAGUAACACAUCCUUCUGGGUUUGAUAUAUUGACUUGUACUAUGUCAUUAUCAAUUACCACCUAAACAGAACAAAAAAAAUAUACAACAUAUUUUAUUCUAAGUUCAUUGCCUUAGAAAUGUUAUCCUAAAAGAUCACUUUUAAAUAAAAAUAAUAAAACAUAUACUUAAAAGAAGUGGAUUACAUAGUUUUCUUGAAUAUCCAAUCGCACCCCUGGAGAUUACAUACUAUAAAUUAGUCACAUGAAAUGUUCCCAUUCAGCUAAUAUUUAUUUUCAUAAUAUAGAUUAAAUCCUAGUGCAGCUAUUCUUUUAAUGCGGAUAAAAUGAAACGCAAGAACUGUGUAAAAGUCAUUGAAAACCUCGUAUCAGAGAGAAUUUUGGUAACAAAAAGUAAAAUAUAUAAAAAAAAGAGAAAGAGAAAGAGAGAACAAACCAAGAACCAGGAUGAAUUGUAACAUCAAAAACAGGAAAAGAUUGUGGAAGUCCAUUGUUCUUUGUUCAACCGUAAUCUUUCUCUUUCUAUGAAAACUUUGCUUGACGACAAAUAUUACUUUCAGAUUCUUUGAAUUAAUUUGUAUAUUUGUAUGACACAACAGCUUCUUUAUAUAUCUCCAUAUAUGCAAACUUCAUCAAAACGUUUUCUGCAAAAGCGAAUUUCAAUUGCUUUAGGAGAAUGAAAUUUGAUUUUGCAUAAAUUUAUAGAAAGUGUGUUAUUGCACAUUUAAUGAAUUUUAAGACAUUGCAUGUGAAAGCAAACAUUAAACAUAAUUUUAAUUCAUACCUAAUAAAACAUAAUAGAAUGUUAAUGAUUUUUUUUUCCUAAGAUGCAUGCACUCAGUCACAUUUUUGCAGCUGAUACACUACUUUUCAGAAUAUAAUAAAAUUUGAAUUGUUAAUUAAAAUCAUAUUUUGGACUAUGAAUAAUUAGAGAAUAAAUUGUUUCUAUGUCUUUAUAAAAAAUAAAAUAAAAAUACCAAUAAACCAUGAGUGGUAAAUUUGUAUAAUUUGAACAACUAAUACUUAAUGUUUAAAUCAGCAUGACUUGGUGAUGAAGGUGGUGGCUAUUAGGUGUGGUUUGACAAGAGAAGCAUGUGGCAGGUAGGAAGAAGGGAGAAGCAAGAGUCUAAAUGGAAAUUAAAUUAGGAAUUAACUUGAUUUGGUAAUCGAGGGAAUAAAGGUUCGGUUAAGCAAGCUAAAUCAUAUAGAUAAAAUGGAGGAAUGAAGGUAACGAUAGGCUAACUAAUAAGCAUAGUCAUGUGGGAUUUGGAUCCUCAGCUGCAGUAUCUUCUGCUGCAAUGUCUACGGCUAAAUCUGAGCCAUUGGAUUAAAUAAAUAAUUAAUUAAAAUAAAUAAUAAUAAAAAUAUGAAAACUGCCCAAUUACAUCAUGUCGUGCGCGCGUUAUUUUGUUUUCGAAUGGCAAACAAGAACACACAACUCAGUGAGUGAGAAUGACAAAAUCUUCAAAAAUCAGAUACACCGUCUCUUUCAACAAUCACCUAUUCAAACCCCUAAAUUUCUUUUGGGUGCGGUAUGUGCCGAUUCAAGUUGCGAAACGCGAUUUGAAGAACCAGGGAUCAAAAUUUUCAUCGUUGAGUGAUCAGUGGUCCUCUAUUCAAUUCUCAUCAUCUCACUUCUCAUCUUUCUUGCGGUUCAAAAUCUGGCAUAUACAUGUUAUUGGGUUCUGUGAAUUGGGUUAAACCGGGAGAUAAGUUUUUCAGGUUUUAACAUUGAUAAAACUAAAAAGAAAUUUUGUUAGAAAUCACUGCUUAGUGCUUCCUAUAAAAUGGAUAAGUUAUUGAGUGUGGCUCUGUGUGUUUUGCUAUGUGCUUUGAGGUGGAUGGUGAAUUGGUGAGUAAUUUUACUAAGGAGUCACAAGUGAUUUUAACUAAUAUUUCUUCUGCAAUUUUCUGGUAUUGGUGGCUUAGCUUUAAAAUUGCCUCAGUCUCAAAUUCGGACAAUUAUUAGAAUUGUUUUUGGAGGAUGAUCGCAUUUUUCAUUGAGUUCGAGUUGGACAUCCACAUCUCAAGCCAUGCUCUUGUCAUAGGAUUAUGUUUGUAUUUUGCCAUGUGAGUUGUUGGGUUGCAAUUAGAUUUAUUGGCUUUACUGGAUUUUGUACUGCAUUUAGGAGGUUUUUUUAGUAAAAGUUAGUUCUCCUUAAAUAGAAAUAUGGUCAUUGGGUAAUGGAGCAAGUUGUGUGGACUUAUUAUGCAUGCCUUGUGGCUUGGUAGAGUUUGGUUUGGUUAGUGCAUACUAGUUUGUAGGAUUUGAAAGUGCAAAAGAGAUUGUACAAAACUGUUAUUAAGCCUUUAUUUUUUUGAACAUGUACUGGUUUGGAGUAUUAUAUCAUGUUGCUUGGAUUUUAAAUUAAAAAACUUAUUUUAAUGACGGUACAAACUCAUUUUAGAGAAGUUAAAACAAUAUAACUUUUGAUUAUUUAAAAAAAAAUACAUUAUUAAAUUCAUUUCUUUUUUACUUUUGGAAGUCACGGAAUAUGCAAAUUUGGCAAAAUGUGUCGGAAACCUGUCAAGUUAUUUUUGAAUGUGCGCGUAAGUUGUUACAAGGAUGGAAGGAAGCAUAUAUGUGUAAAGCUAGGCUGGGGGAGGGCGAACAACACCGUAUCAGCCGACAGGAGCAGCAGUUCAGUGCUGGGAGAGGGCGAACAGCAACCUGCUAUGCGUGCUGUCAGCACCAUAUCAGCUGGCGGCAGCAAUUCCACACAGCAGCAGCACAUCAGGUGGCAGAAACCAGGCACGGGAAGGCUUAAGUGUAAUGUUGACGUGGAAUUCACGAGAUCCUUGAAUGUUAUUGGUGUUGAUAUGUUUAUAAGGGACGAAGCUGGACAGUUUGUGGCAGCCAAGACGCUACGGUCUGGUCCUAUAUGUGAAUCGGGUAUAGGUGAAGCUUUGGGCCUCUCAUACGCUAUCCAAUGGGUACAUGAGCUGAAACUCACUAAUGUCGACUUUGAGAUGGAUGCCAAAAGGGUUGUAGAUUAUUACAAUAAGGUAAGCAAUGAUAUAUCUGAAUUCAGCGCAACCAUUGAUGAUUGUAGACGUCGAUGUUGUUAUUGGUUUGAAAACUCUAAGACAAAAAGAGCUGCGUAAGGGCCACCUAUAUGUUAAUUAUACAAAAACAGCUGCUCCCGUAUAACAAAAGAACGCAUACCCCUUCCUCAUAAUUCACAUAGAAAAAACUUAGACAAAAAACUCCCAGCAAGGCUGCCACCCCCCAAUACCAUACCAUUACCUACACUACUGUUUGAAAAAAAAACAAACCAAAAGCCAUAGCAGCCAACAUCCGUGCAUGACCAGCCCUUGAAGCAUGAACUGGAAAAAAACCACCCCACAAACAAAACCAAAGACAACUACUGCACCUUCAAUUUGUGUGAGUGUGUCCAAAUGUUUUACAUUUGUGGUUUCCACACAAGUAUUCAUCCUCAUUUUAUACUUUGGUUCUAAUUAUAACAAUAUAGAAUUCAUUUACUUUUGUAAACAAGAAAAGCAAAUGGAUGUUUUACUUGCAUUGACAUUUGACAGCACCUAAUCAAACAACAAAGAAAUAGUACAAUAAUUGUAAAAGGGGCUUAUGUAAAGCAACACCUAAUUAAAAAUUCAUGAUAACACUUAAAUAACUAAUCAAAAAUAGCAGCUAAUAAAAAAAAAAAACUCAUGUCAACACUGAAUUUGUAUCAUAAGCUCUUCAACAUCUCGAUACAACUAUGGGCCUCAAUUCAAGUCUCUGGUACCAUCAUCAAGUUGCUCCUAUAAUUUAAAAAAUGCAAAUUAAUAUUAUAUAUAUAGAUUUGAAAGUGAAUCGUAUAAUUUGAAAUUUACCAUCAAUAAGCUAGUAAAACUAGCAACACCGAAUUGACUAGAAGUUCCAUCGUCUCCCUACAUAAAACCCAAAAUAAUUUAAACACUAAACAUAGUUAAGGUCAUUCACAAAUUCAAAUUGUUAUUAGCUAACCAUAGAUGGUUGAUUGUAUGCAUUAUUAAGCCAUAUAGGUGCACUUGUAAUUGACGAUGCAAAUGGUUGUUGACGUUGUAAAUCACUAGUGUUGGACACAACAUAUUGCUUUUGACUUUGUGGAACACUUAUGUUUGACACUUCAUCCCGCCUCUUUAUAUUUUUGGAACCCUGCUUACCUUUGUUCUUCUACACGAAAAAAAGGAAUAUAAAGGUAAGCUUAUGUAGUCAACAAAAACAAAAAAUAAAACUAAAUAUAUUAAUAAUACCAUAGGUUCUUGAAUUUGUGAAGCAAUGGACUUCGCACGUUUCUUUCUCUUGGCCAGUUUUGUUUCUACCCAACCUUUCCAACGUUUUGAACCCUUUGGACCUUCGUUGUUCUUAAACCCCUUUACUUGUGUUGCACAAUCAUUAGUAAUUGAUAUCUCUUUAAUAUUGUUAGAGGUUCCAUUCACUUGUUCACUACUUAUUUGCAUAUUUUGAAACUUUAGCAUUUGCUCGUCCAAUUCAUCAGCAACUUCCUUAAGAAACUCAACAGCUUCUGGACUUCUACAUCCUUCUGUGACUAUCCUAAUAAAGCGGGGACAAAUUUCCUUAUAACAUUGUGCUGGAGAUAAAUCCAAGUCUUCUACCACAUGACUAACACCAAUAGUUUGUGAAGCUCUACUUCUUGCUAUCUUUGUCCACCUCUUUAAAAUAUAAGGCUCAGGCACUGAUGUAACGUCCAUAUGAAUGAAGACUUUUAAGCAAUGACAACAAAGUAUGCCAAAGCUUUCAAAUUUACGACAAGAGCAACAAAUUGUAUUCUUUUCCAAAUCGAAGGUCACUUGCCAUUCUCCCAUAUUCCUUUUCUUGGCAAUAACAUAAGUAGAUGAUGAUGUUUGUAUGUCCAUGCUUUUCACAAAGCAUGCUUCAAACAACUCAUACUCACGUUGGAAUAAGUCGAAAAUAGUAGGAGUAUAAAGCUUGGACACUUGUUGCAAAAUAUCAGAAUAUGAGUUCUUCAGUCUUGGAAUUUUUUGGCGUGCUUCAAAUUCACACUUCAAUUCUUUAUACCGCUUUUCUUCUACAACAUCUUCAAAACGCUCAAAAAAUUUAAUUAAAUCCAAGUUCUUACUCAUAAAAUUUUUAAUAUCUGCAUUCACACUUUCACUAAGUUGAGUGCUUCGCAUCCCUAAUGUCAAAGUCUUCUUCAUGUAACAAGAUGCCCAUUUCUCCUUUAUAUUGUACAUUCUUUGCAACCAAUCAUUUUUCUGAACACCAUACUUUAUAAGGAGGGAUGUCCAACCAUCUUCAAAUUGUUCUACAUCUUCAUAACCAUACAUGCAUUUCUUAAAGUCACUAAGAAAAUAAGAUUCCCCCUUCAUUAAAUUUCCUAAGUGUUUAAUUCCAUUUUGCAUCAAGUGCCACGUACAUAAACCAUGGUAAGCUUCAGGCAUAACCUCGGCUAAUGCUUUUGCCAUUGAUUUGGCUUGAUCAGUAAAAACUGUUUGAGGCAUUUUCUGCUUAUGUGCUUCUAGAAAUGUCUCAAAUAGCCACUCGUAUGACUCAGCAGUUUCGUCAUAUAAUAAUGCAGCUCCAAAAAUUACGGCUCCUCGAUGGUGGUUAAAUCCCGAGAUGAUUGCUAGUGGUCUGUGCGAACUAUUUGUGCAAUAUGUUGAAUCAAGAGAAACAACAUCACCAAAAUAACUGUAAUCAACCAGCAUCCUAGCAUCUGCCCAAAACACAUUGGUGAUUUGAUCUUCAAUAUCUAGCUGAUAAGCAUGGUAGAAAGUUGGAUUUUCUACCGUCUUUCUUUGAAAGUAUUGCAAUAAAUAGCCGGCCUCCCCUUGUACCAAACUUCUUUCUCUUUUUUUCCGAAGAUAAUUCUUUUGAUCAAGACGUAUAAAACCCAAGUUAGUUCUGCCUCCUACUUCUUUACUCAAUAAAUCAAACGAUUUCUUUUGUUGUACACCGACACUAUCAGCUAGUUCAAUUUGUUGACAAUGAAUUUCAGAAACCUUUCGUUGAGACGACAACAUAUGAGUUGUUUCUGGCAAAAGUAACUCGUGGUUGUGGUCCUCCACAAAAUCAUGCACCAUCAAUUUUCCAUCCACAUUCUUAAGUCCUAACCUUGCUUCACAAUUUGUUCUGGUCUCUAGUCUUGGAUUCUUUGUUUUAUAAUCUCGCUUGUCUGGCUUUCGCAUGCCUUCUUUGCAGCAAACAAACCUACAAGAAGAAACUGAACCAUCCUUUUUCCUGUGUGUAUAAUCUUUCCUCACUCCGAAUCCAACCUUACCACCGUAAGUGUUCCAGAACUCCCAAGCAUCUUCAAAGCUACAGAAAACCAUAUCUACUUUUGGCUUCCAAUCUUCAUUCAUCUUGUAUCAAAAGUCUUAAAAAUUCCUAAAAACAAAAAAUGUAUAUCUUAUUUGCGGUAGCCAAAUGUAUACCUUAUUUAAUUAUAAAUGAGUAUAAACAAUCUAAAUUAUCAUCGUAAAAGAGUAUAUAUAACUCACAAAAGAAACAAUUAUACAUGAAUAUAAACAAUCUAAAUUAACGUAAAAGAGUAUAUAUAACUCACAAAAGAAACAUAUAUAUAAUAUUUAAUGUAUCACAUUUUAAAAUCAAUUCUCAACUCUGUUGGUUAGUUUUUUGUAAUCAUAAAAGUGAAUGAGGACAAACAUGUGAAAUAAUUUGUUUCUUAUAUAAGUAAUGAGGACAAGUAAGUGAAAAAUAUUACAAGUAAAAGUAAUGGAUCAGCAUAUGAAAUUAGUUAUGACCAAUGGAGAAAAAACAAUAGACGUACCUGAGAUUUGAGACAAUCGAAAAAGUAAAUAAGGGCAAUUGAAUAUUAGUGUUCUUUGUGUUUUGGCACAAGCUAGUUAGUUUUUGCAGCAACGAUGAAUAACUUCCCUGGUAGAAACAAAAUAACGCGCGCACGACAUGAUGUAAUUGAGCAGUUUUCAUAUUUUUAUUAUUAUUUAUUUUAAUUAAUUAUUUAUUUAAUCCAAUGGCUCAGAUUUAGCAGUAGACAUUGCAGCAGAAGAUACUGCAGCUGAGGAUCCAAAUCCAUAGUCAUGUGAAAGAAUGCUUGGAAGAAUCUAAUCUUGUUGAACCGACCAAAUCAUGUUAUAUUACUUUUUUUCCAAUUCAAUUUUCAUAAUCUAAUUCUUGUUGGACUUUUAUUUGUUGCUACCUGCCAAUAGACCAUAGUUUCUCUAGUUGCUCACGGGUCGCUAUAGUCUAUAUGGUUCGGUAGUUACCAUAAUACAAGGUCACAAAGUGAAGUUAUUAGUGUACUACUAGAUAUUAUAAGUAAAAAUUAACAAGAUAAACUUAUUAAUAAAUUGUUUAGUCAGUAUUAUUAUUAAGAUUUAAUUUGUAUAUAUUGAGGAUGCAAACCUUUUCAAACACGCAUCUAAUUAAAUUAAUUAAAUCUUUUUUUUUUUUUGACAAAAUAAUUUUGUUGCAGUUGUCCCCAAAAUUACAUGUACAAAUAGUUGUCUCCCAAAAAUCUAAAUAUCCCUUAUGUUAGUUUUAAACAUAUGCGCUCAACUAAAUAAUAUAUGUGAAAAUAUUGAUAGUAAAAGACUAAUAUAUCUAAGGGUGUUAACAUGUAUGGGUAACCUGUUCAACCCAAUUACUCUAUCCGAAUCAACCCGCAUUUAAGCGAGCAUGCUCAAGUUUGGGUCUAAUCCGAGCCAACCCAUUCAAACCAUAAUAGUUUAGUUCAGGUAAUGCUUUUAUGAUUUCAAACCCAAGAACAUGCGAACUCAAUCCGUUCAAAAAAAAUUGUUAAAUUUUUUAUUUUGUAUAAUAUAGUUUUAAGUCUUUUAUACCUUAAUUUUGAUGUUUUUCAAAUAAAUUCAAGUGUUAGCAUUUUUAAUACCAAAAAUUAAUUUAGAUAUUAGAAUUUUUAUAAAAUAGAAUGUCAUUUUAUUAUAUUUUCUAUUUGGAAUGUUUUUUUAAAAAGUAUUUAGUGACCAAUUGAUCCAACCCAAACCAACUAGAAUUGAUCGGAUUUGCUCGAAACUGGCCAGCCCAAUCUGUGUUAAAAUUUCAUUUUUUUUUUUUUUUUUUUGGAGAGUUCUCUAUUUUCUGUGGGAUUAAAAUUGAUGUUAAGCGAAUUUCCAAUAAUAGUAAUGCCGCACUUACUCAUUGCAAUUGCAGUUACAACGAAAAAGGUAGGCGCUUUUUAUUCACCAAUGCAAUAACUAAUUUCAGUAAUGGAUUUUUCUUUUCUCUCCUUCUGUGUGCUAAACCCACGGUCAUCUAAUUAUUAGUCUUUUUUUUUUUUUUUGGUAGUGCUCUAAUUAUUAUUAGUCUUCCAUUGUGAUCAAUUUUCCUAGAAAUAAUAAGGAAAAAAAGUUGUAAAAUGGUGACUAAAACUCAGUCGGAUGUUGCUAGUUGUAGAGUAGUGAAAGUUGGCAUCUAAUCUAAUAUCAUUAAGAGCAACUAAUUCGUGUUUGAAAAACCGCACACGUUAAAUAUUUGGGAACUUCUACGGUACACCUCACAAAUUGGGGUGUACCGGUACUCCUUGCUUCAUAAAUUGAUAAAUUUAUGAUUAUUUUAGGAAGUAAAGAGCUAUUUGUCAAGGUUAUCCUUUAGAAAACAUCAUUUCAUAAGAAGAAAAACAUAAUUUCAUUGUUUAUAAGAAUCAUAUUAAAUUUUUAACAUUACUCAUAAAAAAUAAUCAAUAAUCUUCAUUAUGAGUAAUAAAAAUUCAAAAAAAUUAAAUUUUAUUUCGUCGACACUUUUGAUAAAUAAGAUUUAAUUUUUAUAAUUGUAAAUGAUAGAUUUCUUCAAAAAAAAUAACUCAUUUAAUUAAUAAUUUAACAAUUUAGUGUAUCGGUACACUCAAAUAUUUGAGUGUACCAUAGAAUUUGCCUAAAUAUUUAUGCUUAUAUUCAAACAUCUUUAAUGAACACACACAUGAAGAGAGCACUCACUUAAUUAAUAGUUACUCCCUCCGUCCCUAAUUAUAAGACCCUUUUGUUAAAAUCACGGGAAUUAAGAAAACGGAUAUUUGUAUUAAAGUUGUUUGUAAUCACUAUUGUUUUUACAAUUUUAUCCUUAAGAGAGAGAGUUUGUUUAUGUUUUCCAUAUGCUACUUAUUGCUGAUUGAAGAAAAAGAUGUAUAAUAAAUAGGGGCAUGUAUGUAAAGAAGUAAUUAAUGUAGUUGGAAAUAACAAAGGGGUCUUAUAAAAAGGGACAAAAAAAAUUCUCAAAAGAGUCUUAUAAUUAGGGACAGAGGAAGUACAUCUUACACAAUAAAUGAUCACCAACAUCACAUCCUCCUCUCUUUAGAAUAUCUCUAAAUGAGCAUUCAAACUUAAGGAUACUUUAACUCGAUCUUCACUAGUCCUCCUAUUUUUAGGAAAGAUAAAUAACUUUCAUUCAUGAAAAAUAGCAUUAGUUAUCACAUAUUAUCAAGUAGUUUCACUCCAUCUCCAAUUAACUUCUUUUUUUUUUUUUUUUUUUUUUUUUUUUUUUUUUUGGGACAGGAAUCAAUUAACUUCUUGAAAUAUAUCUCUUACAUUUGCAUCACUUGCAUUAAUAUUUAUUAUUGUUUAGAAAUUAAAAUUAAUUUCCAAUAAUUUUCAGCUACAAGUAGACCAUGAACAGUUACACACUAUCAAAUAAAUUUAGGUUUAAAAAGCAUUUUCCAAUGACAAUCUAAAUCAAAACAUUAUUUCAUGAUUGAUCAUAUCAUAAAAGAAAAUUAGAACAUCGCGAUAAAAAAAAGAUACAAAAAAGUAUGAUUAAUUACAUAUAAUCCAAACAAAAGAGAGAAUUAACUACUCAUUGUUAGGAUAGCUUUACACAAUUGAUAAGAAUUGAGAUGAAAUGAUAUCAAUACUUGAACACCCCAUUCCUUUCUACAACUCUACUUUAAUUCGCACAUUUUUAUUCUUCAAAUGGAAGACAUGAACUUUAUUUAUAGUGAGAGGGUAAGUGAGAUUUCACCAAGUGAAAUUGUAGUUCGCUUGACGAGCUGCAUUUCUUCAUUUUAAAGUAAUCGCCGGUUGUUCUCAAGAGUCGCUAAUUCACCUUGAUUGUCCAAGUAAAAUUAUUACUUAGCUUAGCAAAUUUUGCCCCCGAAACUCCCUAAUUGUCCCCCUACUGUACCCCAAUGCCGAUGAUUUAGGAUUACAUUCCUCUCAAGAAGUGUUGAACUCAAUAAAAUAAUUCUAAUAGUCAUUCUAUAAACAAAAUUAAUUUUGAAAAUCAUCUCUACAUACUACUACUCCCUCCGUCCCAAAUUGUAUGACGUUUUGGGCAUUUCACACAUAUUAAGAAAUGUAAUUAAUAUUGUGUGGGAAAGAGAUAUUAUGAGUUGUUUUACAAAAUUAUCCUCAAUAAAUGAUAUGGGAAAGAUAAAUGAAAGAAUUGAAAGAAGAGGGAGUAAUAAAUAGUUAAGGAUAUAAUAGGAAAAGUAAUAUUAAUUUUUCAUUGGUAUUGUAAAGCGACAUAUAAUUUGAGACAAAUAUUUUUUCUAAAGUGACAUACAAUUUGGGACGGAGGGAGUAUAUAACAAAAAAUGUAACCAAUUCAAGGUUUUAAUGUGACUCGGCUUCCGACAAUCAUUGUUUUUCUAGUUAAUACAAAACAAAUGUAUAAAGGUUAAGAGAGCAAUUAUUUUCAUAAUUCUACACUAUACACUAUACGCAAAUAACUAUCUUUUCCUUUUCACACACACAACCACUUUCUAAUUUGAUGAUUCUUGGUUGUUCCUCUUGAUCCUUUUAUUUAUUUAUUAUUAUUUGCAAAAGGAACUUUUACAUUUUCUUUCAAUCACCACGGAGUAUUUCACUUCGAUUUUUCUUUCUUUUCCAAGAUACAACAAGUUAAUAUUCUUUUAUCUUAUAAGCAUUGGAGAUAUUCACUGUCUUUCUUUUAGGUUUAGUGUUCUGAAUCUGAUUUAUUAAAAAGAAAGAAAAUUUUCCAUUUAAAGCAUAAAAGAUUAACUCUCAAAAUUGAAAUAAUUGUCUUGAUCAUGUCCAUGAAACAUACAUAAAGCAACAAGUAGAGAUAUUAAAGCAAAAUAAACCAGUGUACAAACAAUGUCGACUCUCAAAUCAUCUUAUCCUAUAGAUGCACACAAUUCACCAUGCCAAGUCUAAUGUGAUUCCUGAAAUGAACAAUUUUCAUGUAAUAGAAUAAAAUAUCACUUUGAUUCAUACACAUGAUAUCUUUCAAGUACAACUAUAAAAUUUGGCCUUAAAAAUAGCAGCGAAUAUGUCACGAUUUCACAAGUAUUGCGAUUUGUCUAACGAUCAAAUACUCAAAUUAUGGAUUGAUAAUGAUAAAUAAAAUAACACGGUACACAUUUAACAUGUUAUAAUCCAAAAUAAAUACAAGGUAUUUUUCAUUUGUAAUCUUUAAUUGUCUUACAACGCAAGAAAUCUUAAAUCAGAAACAUCAUGACUCUUUACUUUCCUAUUUCUUUGAAUUUAAUAGAAGAAUAUUAUAAAACAGAAAAAUUUCUCAAAUUUUCUUACUGAAACUAGAAGUAGCUGGACCUUCCAAACGAAUAUAAUCAUACAUAAUGGCCUGAAAUGGAAUAUUGCCUCUAGCUUGUGUCAAAAAGAUGGUAUUAUUAUCUCCUUCAACAAGUAAAGAACCUGGUAUGUUCACAUUGUAAAGCCAAUAAAGUCCAUGAAUUCCAUGUCUAGCAAUUGAGUUAUCCUUUCCUAUCAACCCACUUGAAAAUAAAGGGCGAUUUGUUUUGGGAUCAUUGACUCGUACCUAAAAUUGUUAAUAGAGUUUUCAUCAAACAUAAGGUAAGCUUUAAAUCUUAAUUACUUGGAAAUUAAACUAAUAGUUACAGAUUUUAAAUAUCAAGUUAAAGAUAAAUUGGUUCAAUUUGCUCUGUAAAACCUAACAGGGAGUGAAAUAAGAAGUUUUCUUAACAUUAAUCUAAUACACAAAAUGAAUUUAGAAAUGUUACCUGAAGUUCUGAAUAUGUAGCUGAUGCCAAAGCCACUCGAAGUUUAUAGCUACCUUUUCUGUUUACAUUAUCAAGGUUAAACUUGAUUUGCCAUGUGGUUCCUUGAUAUGUAUUAUCUUCUUUCUUCCUAAAAUUGAGGAGGAAAAUCAACUAUAAUGUAAAGUAGCAGAUAAUUAGUUGAUAAUGCAAAACCUUUAUCUUUACCUGGUAACUUGAGCAAAGAACCAAUCUUUGGUGAAGUCACUAACACCGAUUGUGUAGAUCAAAUCGUUGUCAGGGUAUAGUUCUGCAUAUCUCUCCCAUAUACCAUAUUGCCUAAACCUGCAAAAUGCAAAUUGUAAUCACCUACAAAAAUUAUAUAAAUAGUCUUUGGUCAAUAUGCACUUCAUUUACUUUGGCAAUAAACAUGGUCCAUGCCAUAGGGUCGGUGUUUUGGACACUGGUGCCAAUAUGUAGACACUAAUAAUAAUUCGAAGAAAAAAAGUGAUUAAAUGUAGCCACAUGUGUGAGACGCACAGACACACCUUUAAUUUGAAAUGUUAGUGCUACUUUGAAUUUAUUUUGAAACGGUUGUCGGAUGAAUGUUUAAUAAAAAAUAAUAAUCAUAUGAUGUAAAUUUAUGUUGAAAUGCAUUAAAAAAAAAGUGAUCCUAACUUGUCAGGAUGAUUAACAUAAAGUUUGUUGAUAUAUUUGGGAUUUGGAUCAGGAACAUAGAACUCAGCAGCUGAGCGAUCGGGGAUGCCUAUUUCCCACAAUGUUGGGCCAUCUCUUGGUGGCUCAUAAACAAGAUCACCAAUAUCUAUGUCACAGCCUGUUUAAUUUCACAUAAACAAAAUACACAACACUAAUUAACACAAAAAUUGUCUGCAGUUUAUAAAAGAAAAUAACUAAAUUGAUUGAUGAAUUAAUACCUUCUGUUAUGCUAAUUACUACAUCAUAUUUAUAGUCACCAAUAAAACCAGGCACCCAUGCAUAAAAAUUAUAGUCACCAACAUGUAUAUUGCUAAUCGAGAAAUAGCCAUCAUCAUCUGCUUUAGCCCAAAACUGAUAAUUCUGAUAACAAUUUGAUGUAAAUACAAGUUAGCUAGCAGUUUCUUUUAGCCAUACAUAUAAAAGUUCCUAACAUAUAUAUCUAUUUUUCAAGUCACACCUACCUUGCAUUCUCUUUGCCAAGAUCCCACUUCUCCUGGUGUAGCCAAGCCAACAUAAGCACAAUUUGCUGAUAAAUAGUCAUCAUCUAUAUACCUGUAUGUUUUAUAUGCCAAAAUGGAAUUAAAUAAAAAACCAACAAUAUUAUUGGAAUAAGAUUUCUGAUUACUUAUCUAGUUAGUCUUAUUACUUAUUUUGAUCAUUAAUCAAUAAAGAAUACUAACUGAUAAAUAGCUAAUUUAAUUAUUUGACGAUAUUUGCCCACAUAACGACAUUGAAAUAAAAUAUUCCUACAUUUUCUUUCAAUGAAUAAUAGAAGAACACACCUCUCUUUAACCAAUAGCCUGCCACAGACAUUACCACGUUCGUCCCAUUUUGGGAAAUCAUCUGAUUCGGGAAAAUUGUAGGGCCAGCUUUGAACUUCCAUUAACAUCUGUAAGUUUGAUUUGGUAAAUUUUUUAAGAAAAUAUAGCUAUGUACAUAACAUAAUAUGUAUGUAGAUAGAUAAUGAUGAUAAAUUAAGUAAUAUUGAACCUGCAGUUUAGCAUCAUCCCAUAGUUUAAUAGGGUCACUUCCAUCAUAUGGAGAAUUGACAUAGAUAAAAACUGGGCCAAAAACUUUUUUCCAUGCCUCACCAGCUUUGAAUUUAGGCACUAAAUCCUCUCCACUAUAAUGAGCACUGAGAAACACCUGAUUUGGACAAGGGAUUGUAAAAUCAAACCCGAAUCAUGACACUUAGAAUACAACAAAUAUUUCAAUAUAUAGCAGAAAAUGAACUUUGGUUAAAAAUAAUAUGAUUAUAUGUUUUUCUACAUUUUUUGUAGGAUUACUUGCGUAUUAGUGUAUGAUAUGAUUAAGCACUUACAGCAAGUGUGGUUGGUCCGACGUGUGAAGUUAAGUUUUGUUUGACAGGUCCACCGGAUCGAAAUUCAUUGCUAGGCGUAAUAAGCCAGAAUCCAACAGCAGGAUCCAUGCAAAUCCAUCCAUGAACUUGGCUGUCUUUGUUGUCACAUGAAUAUUGAUACUUAUCAUCCACCUAGAAUCAACAAAGUUGACAAAGGAAAACAUAAAUACCAAUAUCUUAAAUUUGUACUAUUAUGUUUUUGUCAUUAUAUUGAAGUAUCUAUAUUCUCAGUGUGAUGCAUGUAAUGUAAAAUGUACCUCUCCUUUAAGUUCUGGUUCUAUAGGAUUGACCAGUAGAACUGCUUCUGGAUAUGCAAGUGCUUGGCCUCUUGGUGCCACUCUGUCAUCUGGAAGAGGCAUAUUCCUCUGUCUAUUAUCCGCCAUUGCCAUAUAAUGGAAUCUGCAUGUCCACACCAUCCAAUUAUUUCCCAUCAAACACUUGUAAGGCUGUUUGAGAGAACUUAUGACUUAUAUGAAAAUAAUUUGAUUUUAAUUUAUCUUUUGUUGUAGACAUAUUUAUGCAUAAAUAGUGUAUGAUAAGUUUUUAACUGUUUAUGCUAGCUAUAAGUGCUUAAUGGAGUUUUUUAUUCAAACAAGACACGCACGCACCGUUUACACACAAGUACAAAAUAAAGUAAAAUGUUAAAGCUAAUUACUUGUCUUUUCUAAGCUUGAAAGCAAUUCUUGUUUCAUCAAGGUUAAAAGCAGGCCAGUCCUCCAAGUGCUCAUAAAUUGCAUAGGAAUAGAAACCGGAACAACCACGAAGCAUUAUGAACCUAGAGUCACACAUAAAUUAUGUCUAUCAUUAAAGUUUAUAUUUCAUUUUAUAGUAACAUUGUUGUAGAUAAAAUAGGGUACGCUCUAUUCCUAAUUAUAAGCAAAAAUGAGUCAAAGAAAGUUGAUAUAUCAACGACUCAUUUUUACUUAUAACUAAGACGGAAGCUAAAGAAAAGUUGAUAUAUUUAGCUAGAUAUAUGUUAUUGUCCCAGACCUUUUAUCAAUAUUUAAAGGAACCAACUUGCCCUCUAGGGAAGCAUCCCAAGUCCUGGUGAAGGAUAACUCAACUUGAUCCUCAUCUUCCAAUAUAACUUUGAAUGUGGUUGCCUUUAUCCUGCCCUCGUUAAUCACAAUUCAAAAAUGUUAUUUGCUUACUACACGCCUACAUUUUUAAAAACAUGUGAAAAUAAAGUAUAUACAUACAUACAAAUAUGACUUUAUUGAACUACUAAGAUAGAUGGUUAAAACAUCAAGAAUCUGAAAGUUAAGCUUGUGCAAAAAUGAGUAUAUGUGAAAGUAAUUAAGUUGGGCAUAUGGCUAUAAUCUAUAUAGCACCGACACUUUAGAUUAAAGAUGUGUUCGGUGCUGACACAACACCGACAUAUGUUAUUUUCAACCAUUUGUGUUUUCUUAAAUUACUAAUAAUAUAUAUAUGUCACAUGUUUCUGAUGGCCGUAUAUGUGUCGGUGUUUCAUAGGUUGAAGCAAUACUACUAUUAGAGGAAUCUUCACCUCAAAUUGUCUUGCAAAUUAAGUAAAGCAAGAGAAAGCAAGAGAAGAUAGACAUACACAUCAAAUUUUCCGGUGGUUCCUGUACUUGUUGGUGAGCUCCAAACGAGGUCCCAAUACCUACAUCAAAGGUUGCCAUGCAAACACAUAUUUAUAAAAUUUCAACUUUUUUAUUGCAUAAAAGUUACUAUUUGAUUUGUAAAAACAACUAAAUAAAACUUUGCAAGGUAUACCCUCUAUUAGAUUCUUCAUUCAACACUUCAAGCAAAUUGUCAAUGUCACUAUACUGUAUUCCAGUGACAAUUCCCUCGGGAUUUGAUAAAGUGACUCUUAGUAUGCCAUUGUCCAUCACCACCUACACAUGAAUUCAUGAAGUUUUAAUGUAAACACUUCACUUUUUUAAGACUAUGUUUUAAAAAUAGGGUUGGAAAUCAAACCGGUGAGACUUUGAGUCAUUGUUCAAUUGGGUGAAUCAAUUUAAUCACGGUUGAACCAGAUGACAAAUAAAUAAAAAUAUUUAAAAAGUAAAUAAUAAAAAAAAAUGAAAAUUGGUUGAACCAACCAUGCAUGGUUGAACGGGUUCAACAUCCUAUUCAAUGUGAUUCAAACAAGCUACAAUGUAAUUAGAAUUAAACCAACCGAUAAACCAGCUAGUUUCUUGUUCCGCCAGUUCGAUCUAGCUUUUAAAACAGUGUUCAUAUCCGAACAAGAAUUUUACAUAAUUGCAUGUGCUUCAUGAUGAUGACUUGACUAGCUAUAAAAGUAUUCAUGUGGAAAGAAAAUCAUUCUAGAGAUAAGAUUUUAAUUACAUGAUGAUCUUGAAUGCUGAGUUGCACCCCUAGGGAAGACAUGACUUGCAGUGAACCAAAGAAAAGUUUGCAAUGAAAGUCUCACAGAAUGGCUGAGAAUUUAUGUUCAAUAUAAUGAGAAGAAAGAAUACACGGCCUUUUAAUUUAUAUGGCACUGAGUGCAGGUUUUGAGCACAAUGUUUGGAUAAAACAGUUUGUGUUCAUGUUGUGAUAACUUAAUAGUAAUACUCUGUAAUGUGCCAGCAGAUAUUGGAUAGUAUACUUGAGGACUUAUAUAUAUGUUGGUUUUAUUAGUUUCCUUUGAACUAGAGACAAAGCAUUCUUUAAAUCUCUUUACUUAGUCGUCACAUUUGUUUGGUGCAUAUAGUGCAUUAAAUAAAGGCUUCAGAGUGAAGAAACGGUCAAUCACUUUUCAAAACGAAUUUAUAGAUGUAUGAAAACUUCGUUACAAUCUCAACAAUUGAACUUUAACAAAUGCCUAAAUUCUGUUUUUUUAUGAAACAUCGAACACAACGUGACACAUCGACAUCAAUAGUAAUUUAAAA
rnacentral:lncRNA from 1 species